AAAAUAAGUUUCAGGAUUGAAGGCUCAACAAAUACGAAAUCCAGCAUAUUUACAAGUUGUAAUUCAGAAGUUGAACAGCCAUUAUUCAUCCUGAUGAAAGCCUUCAAAGAGAAGAAUACUUGACAGGGGAUGUGAGAAAAAGAUGCCAAAUAGUGGACAUGUGAAAAUGCCUGAAAAGGGCUAAAAAUAAACCAGUUGCCACUGUUGUAGCAGUACCAAAGGAUCAAACAAAGUUAUUUUGAAUUCACACACAAUGACUUUUGAAAAAUGAUGCGCAGUUCCACAAAAAGGAAAGCCAUGGGUUUCUUGUGGUCUGAUCAGCAUGCUAAAUCUACUGGUGAUCCUUCUUUUCUUUGAAGGGAUUCCUGAUGAAGAUAUUCAUUUUCUCGUGUUGAAUCCUGAACCUGGUCAUCCUGUUGAAGUCAUUGUCGUGUGAUAAAUUUUUUUCGUGGAAUCCAUUACAAAUCUAACUGCUUUCGACUCUUUACGUUGCAGCACUUGGGAAAAUUACGUCAAUGGUUCUUGUGCUUCGAACAACCAUGCAUUCAUGGGCGAAAAUGUUAAUGUCAACGCUCGUGGAUCGUUUUACCUUAUAACAAAUGGACAAUCCCCGUACGCCCAAGCUUGACUCCUGCUGUGACCACUAAUGGUGCUACGACUAUUCGGUUUUACACACUACGUCUUCGAGAAUUCAACUAUAAUGUGGAAAAUAUUCAGUUCGCAUUGGUUUUCAUACAUCAACAAAAAAUGCGACAGAAAACAUGAAACACCCAACGAUUUAACCGUGAAUCAUACGUAAACGCUCAUUAAUUUUCGUUGUCUACAGAAGGCACGAUACGAAAAUAUUGACUCGACAAUUUUUUUAGACUCACAAAAUUAUUUGUUAAUCUUGCUUUUGGCAUUACAAGGUCCGUUGCUCUGAGGUAGAGCACUUGCUUAAGAUGGAGUUAGUCAUGGGUUCAAAUCCCAUUUGAUUAUAAAGGCAAAAAUUUCAUUAAAAUUUAAUAGGUUAUUUAAUUUGUCAGUCGCGUCGUUAAAUUUAUUGUAUAGGCCUAUUGUGUUAAUGGGUUACAGGUUUCAUUGCAAUGCACACAGUCAAGUAGUGGCAUUUUCAUCCCGUUUCUUACUCUGGUAGUUGGUGUCCAUUUGGGACCUUUUUCUAUUAGAAUGUGUAUGGUGUUAGUUGAAUCAGUCCAUCGCGUUUAGUUCUUCAAAAAAUAUUCUUAUUAUCUAUGUUAGCAUAAUAUCUAGAAAUGUAAGCUAGACCAUUAUUUAUAUUUUAAGAUGGUAGAUUGGUCCAUUGAAAAUUUAGUUAAGGUAGCGCCGCCUGAUUGGUAACUGAUCUCUGGUUAAACGGUGACAGUCAAUAGAACAUGACCCCACUUUUCCCUUCCAAAAUAUAAAUAGAUCAACAUUAAGUGUGAAUAUUGUAAACUAGAAGAUGGCUAAUUGUCAUAAACUUCCCAAACUGAGUAGUCAUGACGUUUUCUUUCUGCUGUUCAUUACGAAAUAUUUUAUUUUGUUAGUACAAACAGAUAAAGAGAUGUCUCACCUAAUAAAAAGUCAAGCAGUAGACGUUCCAUGUUUUUUCUCUGCCUAUUCUUUCGUUCAGCUACGGAAUCGUGAUUCAGUUGCUCACAAAAUUUUCAAGACAUCUAGUAGAGAAACUAGCGAUUGCUUGAGUAUUUCAUGAGAUGAUUUUCCCCGUUUCCACAUCUCAUGGAAUUCGACAAAAACCACAUGGAAUAACCCAAAUUGAACGUUGAUUUCGAUUAAAUCGUUGCUUUUCUCGUUAAAUCAACUGUAAAAAAAAAAAAAGUGCUGCCCUUUUUUAAAUUGGAAAAGAUUGUUUGCUACUCUGGUUCCGUUUCAUCCAAAUAUCGAUUAAUUGAAUGGAAAACUAAUACUUCUAUAGGUUUAGUUUUAUUGAAUUCCAAGUCAAAAUUCUAAGCCGAUUUUGUAUACAAUAAGUCGGUCUUAAAAUGUCGGGCUUAAUUAAUCAAAUAAAACUAGAUAUCUUAUCAAUAGAUGGCCACACUGUUUAGUGGAUCGUCUGCAGUAGAAAUUCAUGGUUCAUCAGAUGUGUCCUAGUUGUUAGGGAUUCGUUAAUAGUUAAAAAAAAAAAAUGGAAAUUGGUAAAAUGAAAUAACAUAUGACCUAUACCUUUAGAUCACUUGUUUUCACAAAUGGAGAUUUAUUCCACAAGCUUCCUAGGCAGACACCCACCCACACAACCAUGGGUGAUAAAUGAUAUAAAAGUUUAUUAAUUUAAAAAAUUUAGAUUUUAGGUUAUUGAUAACAGAGUCAGGAAACAAUGUGUGGAAUCUGAUAUUCUAGCCUUGGAAACCACAGAUGCCUUUCUGCUUUAACAAGGCUAUAAAGCAACUAUAAUUUCAGGAGGUCCUAACUCAGUGUACGUGGUUUACGCCCCACUAUACAAUCCAAUAAACUUCAGGCUGAGGUCUUCCAGUGCUGAGAAUUUAUUUGGCAAGCAAAUACUCAAUAAGGAGUUAGGUGGAACAGUGGAGAGAAAAAUAUUCGCGAUGGGCAAUUUGAGAUCCAAAAAGAAACGGAGUGGCUAUUGUUUAAAGGCUUAGAGACUCGGCAAAUGGUAUUACAUGGUUAAUGGUUAAAUAGUAUUGUGACAGCUUAGACAAGGUUGCAGAAGGGUUGCGUUACGUCGCAAAAUCUUCACAUCAUAUUAUUUCCGCUAUUGCUGAUAUUACUGAGUCCAGUUCCAUGAUUUGACUGAAAACGGACGAAAAAUGUUGCAUGCCUUCUUAUUCGAAAUCUGUGGAUUGCAAGGAGGUUUCACAUUGGAGAAACGCGAGCAGCAGUGUAACGAUUACAUCCGGCGCACGGUCGGACGUGAUAAGAUCGUGCUCAUGCUAGUAAGCGGUGGAGUCGAUUCCGCCGUUCGUGCUGCCCUUCUCCAUAAAGCACUUCUACAGGUGAUAACUCGUCGCGAGUGCAGGGCAUCUAUAUCCAUUCUUAUCUUUUUCUUUUUUUUUUAUUUUAUCUUUACGAAAAGAUACAAUAUGUUUGCUAAUUUACUUUAUUUACGUUAUUCAGCGACAGUUAACAAGCGUUUUAGUAAUUUACCUUGGGCUACUUGAAAUUAUUAUUACAAGUUUCAUUUAAGUUCAUGGUAAAAGUUGAAAUUCAAAGUGUAUGUCUAAUGGCACAACGGUAUAGCAUCGGAGCGGUACGUAGAAGAUUUAGGGUUCGAUUCCCUAAAGAGUUCAGUUACAUUCCAAUGUAAAAACAAAUUCCAUUGGGAAAAUUCUGAUUUAUGAGUUACAAAAUCUCUAAGUAAAAUUAGAGUGCCUUAACCAAAGACUUGUAAAGCUCUAUUCUUCAACGUGGCUAUUGGUCGCAUAUACCGGAACAUUACAACUCAGAUGGAAAACGAACCCAUACUAUGAUGAUUAAUCCCAGUCAAUUUAAUGUUUGUUAAAAAUAAAAAUACGAUUAAUUAAUGUCACUACAUAUUAUCCAUCAUAGACACUGAAUUCCACUACAGCUGAAUGGGAUUCGAACCCAAGUUACAUCGUAUUCCAGUCCAUCGCUCUACCAUUGAGCUAUGAGAGAUACUACAUUGUAAUCUAAGUCUUCAACACAUUAAGGUAACUGUGCAAAAUUGUACAUAGGGGAUCAAAUAUCAAUGGGGGGGAUAUAGGGGGGGUUGCCAGAAAGGUAUCGCAUCCGACUAGCAACUCGAAGGUCCGUGGUUCGAUUCCACGUGGGUUCCUGAUGUCCUGGGCUUCCAACAUUCCCAGGGGUCUACCUUCCCAGGAGCCAGUCGGGUCGAGAAACUUCCCCAUUACGAAGUAAUGGGACGGAUAUUUUGGUAAUCUUUAAUACAAUUCUCAAUAAUAAAUUUUAAUAAAUUGUUUAUUUCGAUUUAUCGACGUGCCUGUGUUACUUAUACACUUUGCAACGGACUUUAACCAUUGUCAUCCCCAGCCGUAAGAUCUCAUACAUAUUUCAGAUUGUAAUAUAUAUUCAUUUAUCUGAAACUGUUGAUUAUUUUAAUAAUUUGGUUGACUCUUUCAGGAUUUGAACCCUUAAUCUGUGGCGUAUCGUGCCGAUGCUCUACCACUGAGCUAUAAGUCAUAUUAACAUACUGUCUACAUUUUCGUGUUAAUUGAGUUAACAAAUUUGGACUUAGAAUAAUUUUUGUAGCAUGAUUCAAGACAAUUUCCUUUUAAUAUGUCUAUAAUAAAUACAUCUAAUUGAAUUGCGAAA